GGGUCGGUAGGUUGGUCGUGCCACCGGUAUGUACUGGCCUUACCGAUUCCUCCUUCCUGUAGAACUGUGAUGCCAUUAAUUUGGUGUUGCAAGGAAACAGGACUGUUACUUUGAAAUAAUUAGAGUGUUUAAAGCAAGCUAACGCUUGAAUACAUUAGCAUGGAAUAAUGAAAUAGGACGUGGAUCCUAUUUUGUUGGUUUCUAGGAUUAACGUAAUGAU
rnacentral:rRNA from 1 species